rnacentral:lncRNA from 1 species
AGAGAGUAGCUGUGGUCUCCUGCGUGCUCACCCUCUGCUCCCUUGGUCCUGCUCCAUGCUUUGGUCCUGCACUUAAAUUUUACAAGCAUACUCUCUUUCUCUUAAGCAUUACUCACAGUAGCAAGCUAUGAAAUUGACCUGAGUGGCCAUCAACAGAUGAAUGGAUAAAGAAAAUGUACGUAUACACAAUGGAAUACUAUUCGGCCAUGAAAAAAACAAAGAAAUUCUGUUAUAUGUUACAACGUGGAUUAACCUGGAGGAUGUUAUGUUAGGUAAAAUAAGGCACGGAAAGACAAUACUGUAUAAUCUCACUCGUGUGUGGAAUCUAAGCAAGUUGAACUCAUAGAAGAAAAGAGUAGAAUGGUAUUUAUCUGAGGCUGGAGCUAUUGGACGUGGCAAGGAGGUGAUGUUGGACAAAACCGAAAUUUCAGUUACACGGGAGGAAUACGUUCAAGGGAUCUAUCGUACAACAUCAUGACUAUAG